UUUUAAUGAAGAAGUUUGAUGUUGUGAAGUUGAUGGAGCUAGUGCAAAAGUAUAAGGUCACAAUUGCACCAUUUGUGCCACCAAUUCUAAUUGAGAUUACCAAGAGCCCAGUGGUUGAUAACUAUGGUCUCUCAUCUAUAAGGAUGGUUAUUUCCGGGGCUGCACCAAUGGGAA